rnacentral:tRNA from 1 species
GGGAAUGUGGCUCAGUGGUAGAGUGCAUGUCUAGCAUGCAUGAAGGCCUGGGUUCGAUUCCUCAGCACCA